AGUUACCCGUGCUCCAGGAUUCAGGAGGGUCUCCUGAACCCGGCCUUGAGCAAGGGAAGCGAGUAGAUACUCCUCCCACCGGCUUUUGGGAAAGACGUGCUCUGCCCUGGGACCUGGGCCAGGACAGGAGGUACCCAGAUUCAGAUGUGCUCAAAGUGCUUCUGUCUAGUAGAGAAAGUAGAGGGAGUGACAGAGUGUGCACCCACCUGGAGAGGGGGGCCAUGCAGGGCCUUGGAGACUACGGUAAGGAGUUUGCUGUUUAUCCUGAGAGCGAUGGGGAUGGCCUUGGAGGAGCUCCAAGAAAAACAAACCAACAAACACAUGAAUGCAGAGCCAGCAUGGUUGGGGGUCUGUAGAGGCAGCUUGUCAUGGCUGGAACAGAAUGGAUUCCUGAGCAUCAUCGUCUCACCCACUCACCUCAACCACGUCAGGCCAUAUCGCUUCCUCUCUACGAAGAAUUGAGAACUUAAAAACAUGCACCAGCACAGCCAGCUGGUGAGUAACAACGCUACUUUGUUAAAACAGCAAAAAUGAAAAGUAUUUGUAAAUGUGGAGUGUGUGGGUGGGCGUGUGUAACUGGGGAGAAGAGUUGAAGGCACGAAUCUAAUGCUGUUAAUGCUGAUGAGAUGGAAGCAGGAAUAUUCAACCGAUGCCGGCCAUCAGCCCACAAACCUGAUAUCUCAUUAAACAAAUAAUGAAAUAGAACAAUUAUCAAGCUUUAUCAGUUUAUAGAAAUUCCAACUAGAGAGACAAGGCUAAGUAAUGAAAGCUGACGUCCCUCGUGUGGUCUCUGAGGACUGUGUGACUGGCUGCCUGCUCUCCCCGCAGCUAUGCAUUAAGCACACUGGCCUCCUCGCUGUUCUACAGACACACCACAGACACACUUACCACAGGGCCUUUGCACAUGCAGUUCCUCUCCCUGGAAUGCUCUUCCUGAAGCUAGCUCCCUCACUCCCUUAGGCCUUUAGUCCAAAAAUCACCUUCCCAGUGAGACCUUCUUUGGCCCUCUUAUCUAAACUUUCAACCACUGCCACUCCGACGCUUUAUUCACGUCCUGCUGCACUGCUUUCUUUAUUUUGCCUUAGCACUUGCGACCAUCGAGCAUGUUCUUUAUUUUACUUAUACUUUCUUGUCUCUUGUCUCUUCCUUGCUAAAAUGAAGCUGCAUGAGAGCAGGGAUUUUUGAUUUGUUUUGUUCAGUGCCAUUUCUCCAGGUGCUGGAACACAGUUGUUGCUCAAUAAACAUUCUUCAGAGGAAUAAACA
rnacentral:lncRNA from 1 species